rnacentral:rRNA from 1 species
AUUGAACGCUGGCGGCAUGCUUUACACAUGCAAGUCGAACGGCAGCACGGACUUCGGUCUGGUGGCGAGUGGCGAACGGGUGAGUAAUACAUCGGAACGUGCCCAGUUGUGGGGGAUAACUACUCGAAAGAGUAGCUAAUACCGCAUGAGAACUGAGGUUGAAAGCAGGGGAUCGCAAGACCUUGCGCAACUGGAGCGGCCGAUGGCAGAUUAGGUAGUUGGUGGGAUAAAAGCUUACCAAGCCGACGAUCUGUAGCUGGUCUGAGAGGACGACCAGCCACACUGGGACUGAGACACGGCCCAGACUCCUACGGGAGGCAGCAGUGGGGAAUUUUGGACAAUGGGCGAAAGCCUGAUCCAGCAAUGCCGCGUGCAGGAUGAAGGCCUUCGGGUUGUAAACUGCUUUUGUACGGAACGAAAAGCUUCGGGCUAAUACCCUGGAGUCAUGACGGUACCGUAAGAAUAAGCACCGGCUAACUACGUGCCAGCAGCCGCCGUAAAAC